rnacentral:rRNA from 1 species
GGGGAAUAUUGGGCAAUGGGCGCAAGCCUGACCCAGCAACGCCGCGUGAAGGAAGAAGGCUUUCGGGUUGUAAACUUCUUUUCUCAGGGACGAAGCAAGUGACGGUACCUGAGGAAUAAGCCACGGCUAACUAC